UUGACCAAGAUGAUGAUGUUUUACAGGUUGUACAGGAAUCUCAUGACCCAGAGAUGGUGGAAGUAGCAGAUGCUGUAGUGGAAGUAGCAGAUGAUUUUGCUCAUGAUUUACAAGAGUGGCGUGCACUUCGUGCAAGGCAAGAUGAGGAAUACCUUGAAAGUCUGCAGACUGACCAAGGAAGGGUAAA